UUUAAACACUGGUUCUCGUAUGAUCACCAAAGGUAAGCAACAUCAAGCCUGGUCAGUAGCUAGGUGGGUGACCUCUUGGGAAUACCAGGUUCUGUAA